rnacentral:rRNA from 1 species
UACGUAGGAUCCAAGCGUUGUCCGGAUUUACUGGGUGUAAAGGGUGCGCAGGCGGACUUGUUAGUCAGAGGUGAAAUCUCACUGCUCAACAGUGAAACUGCCUUUGAUACUGCAGGUCUUGAAUCCAGAAGAGAGUUGUGGAAUUCCGAGUGUAGCAGUGAAAUGUGUAGAUAUUCGGAAGAACACCAGCGGCGAAGGCGGCUCUCUGGGACGGUACUGACGCUGAGACGCGAAAGCGUGGGGAGCAAACAGGG